AUUGAACGCUGGCGGCAGGCCUAACACAUGCAAGUCGGGCGGUAACAGGAAUCAGCUUGCUGAUUCGCUGACGAGCGGCGGACGGGUGAGUAAUGUCUGGGAAACUGCCUGAUGGAGGGGGAUAACUACUGGAAACGGCAGCUAAUACCGCAUAACGUCUACGGACCAAAGUGGGGGACCUUCGGGCCUCAUGCCAUCAGAUGUGCCCAGCUGGGAUUAGCUAGUAGGUGGGGUAACGGCUCACCUAGGCGACGAUCCCUAGCUGGUCUGAGAGGAUGACCAGCCACACUGGAACUGAGACACGGUCCAGACUCCUACGGGCGGCAGCAGUGGGGAAUAUUGCACAAUGGGCGCAAGCCUGAUGCAGCCAUGCCGCGUGUAUGAGGAAGGCCUUCGGGUUGUAAAGUACUUUCAGCGGGGAGGAAGGUGUUGUGGUUAAUAACCGCAGCAAUUGACGUUACCCGCAGAAGAAGCACCGGCUAACUCCGUGCCAGCAGCCGCCGUAA
rnacentral:rRNA from 1 species